rnacentral:rRNA from 1 species
GGCGUGGUUAAGACAUGCAAGUCGAACGCUAAUUUCGGGGUAGCAAUAUUCCGGAGUUGGAGUGGCGAAAGGGUGCGUAACAUGUGGGUAAUCUGCCGUGAAGUUUGGGAUAACUUGCUGAAAGGCGAGCUAAUACCGGAUGUAAUGGCUAGGAGGUAUCUCUUGGUGAUUAAAGUUGGGGACCGCAAGGCCUGACGCUUCAUGAUGAGCCCGCAUCCUAUCAGCUAGUUGGUGAGGUAACGGCUCACCAAGGCUAAGACGGGUAGCUGGUCUGAGAGGACGACCAGCCACACUGGAACUGAGACACGGUCCAGACACCUACGGGUGGCAGCAGUCGAGAAUUUUUCACAAUGGGCGAAAGCCUGAUGGAGCGACGCCGCGUGGGGGAUGAAGGGCUUCGGUCUGUAAAGCCCCUGUCAUUUGCGAACAAACCUUUCCACCUAACACGUGAAAGCUGAUG